UACGUAGGGGGCUAGCGUUGUCCGGAAUCAUUGGGCGUAAAGCGCGUGUAGGCGGUCCGGUAAGUCCGCUGUGAAAGUCCAGGGCUCAACCCUGGAAUGCCGGUGGAUACUGUCGGGCUAGAGUUCGGAAGAGGCAAGUGGAAUUCCUGGUGUAGCGGUGGAAUGCGCAGAUAUCAGGAGGAACACCUAUAGCGAAGGCAGCUUGCUGGGACGACACUGACGCUAAGGCGCGAAAGCGUGGGGAGCGAACAGG
rnacentral:rRNA from 1 species